rnacentral:rRNA from 1 species
GAUGAACGCUGGCGGCGUGCCUAAUACAUGCAAGUCGAGCGAAUGGAUUAAGAGCUUGCUCUUAUGAAGUUAGCGGCGGACGGGUGAGUAGCACGUGGGUAACCUGCCCAUAAGACUGGGAUAACUCCGGGAAACCGGGGCUAAUACCGGAUAACAUUUUGAACCGCAUGGUUCGAAAUUGAAAGGCGGCUUCGGCUGUCACUUAUGGAUGGACCCGCGUCGCAUUAGCUAGUUGGUGAGGUAACGGCUCACCAAGGCAACGAUGCGUAGCCGACCUGGGAGGGUGAGCGGCCAAACUGGGACUGAGACACGGCCCAGACUCCUACGGGAGGCAGCAGUAGGGAAUCUUCCGCAAUGGACGAAAGUCUGACGGAGCAACGCCGCGUGAGUGAUGAAGGCUUUCGGGUCGUAAAACUCUGUUGUUAGGGAAGAACAAGUGCUAGUUGAAUAAGCUGGCACCUUGACGGUACCUAACCAGAAAGCCACGGCUAACUACGUGCCAGCCGCCGCGGUAA